rnacentral:rRNA from 1 species
AUGGCGGAUGCUGGGGUAUCCGCUGUCAUCUCAAAGCUGAGCGAGGUGGCGUCCGCCGAGGCGACGGCUCUUCUCAAAGUGGAUGGCCACAUCCGCACGCUGCGUCAGCGUCUGGGUUACCUGCAGGCGGUCGUCCGUGGUGCUGACCAGCAGCGCCGCGGUUGUGCAAGCGAGCUGCUGCUGCUUUGGGUGCGGGAGACGCGGGAGGUGGCCUUCGAUGUGGAGGACGCCGUCGACGAGUUCCAUCUCAAGGUCGAGAUGUUCCAGGUUGUAGCAAGGCAUGUACUUUCAAGGGAGAUUACAAAGAUCAAUGAGAGGAUCAAAGAAAUUGAGCAGAUUAAGGACACUUAUAAUAUUGGAAGCACUCCUUCGGAAAUAUGGAGUGUGUCAUUCAUUGAUGAAGAUACUACCUGGGAUAUUGAAGAUGGAAGCGUUGAGCUGAGGAGUGCUGAAUUUGAGACCCUCAAAAAAACCAUCUUGGAUAAAGAAGAAAGGAUUUCUCAUAGGGCAGUCAUCUCUAUCAUCGGACCAAGUGGCACAGGGAAGACAAGAUUGGCGAGGAACUUGUACAAUGACAUUGAGAUCCAGGAACACUUUGACGUGCUUGCCUGGAUAUGCCUUCCCCCGUGUAUCCGGUUCGAGCAAUAUGUAGACAUGAUUUACGAGAAGAUCAGGCCGCAGGUUCUGGAGGAGAACAUGCGCAGCAGGUCAGUGUGUGGAACCAGUGGAAAACUUAGAGGGCUCUUGGAAGAGAAGAAAUACCUUGUGGUUGUGGAUGGGGUGGUGGACAUCGUUCACUGGAAUUCUUUGCUUGAUUUGCUUCCGGCAGGCAAUUCCAAGAGCAGAAUUCUUGCUACGUCGAAGCUUAGCACAAAGGAAAUCAAGCAUGCCGACAGAAAAGUUCCACCCAUGGAGCUGCAUCCUCUCGACGUCGAACAAACAGCAAAACUGUUUGACAAGAGAGUAUUCGGUGUAGUUGGUAUGCCAGUAUGGUCACCAAUGUGGACGAAAGAUGGAGAAAACACAACGGAUCUUGGAAAUAGAGUUCACAACAUCUCAAGAGGCCUUCCCUUAGCCGUCAUCGUGCUUGCUGGAAUCCUGCGUGCAAAGGAUUAUACAAGCGAGUGGGAGGAUCUGCUGAGUGAGAAGCUGGAGGUGUCCAAGGGCCAGCCCAAGGCAAUGAGGUGCCUAUGGUGGCUAGCCUUUGAAGACCUCCCGCAUCACCUCAAGUCAUGCUUCCUCUACUUGGCCACAGCACCAGAAAACAUGCUUCUCGACCCAGACCGCCUUGUGCGUCUGUGGAUGGCCGAGGGGUUCAUUUCAACCAAGAAAGGCAGAACCCUCGAGGAAGUCGGGAUGGCCUACCUCAAGGAACUGGUCUGCAGAGGGUUGGUGGAGGUUGUGGAGAAAGACGCAAGAGGAGGCAUCAAGGUGGUGGCUCUCCACAGUUUGCUUCACUCUUUUGCGCAGUCGGAAGCCCAGGAGUGCAGCUUUCUUGAGAUCCACCACCACGCCAAUGUCCUCAACCCACAUGUCGCGCGCCGCCUGGCCAUCCACAACUUCCUCGACAGAUACAUUGAUAUUCCUGACCAGUUCCCCAAGUUGCGGUCUCUCUUCUGUGACUUUCUAGAGGACAAUGCUGCUGGCUUGGUCUCGGGGCAUGAUGGCGACGGGCUAGCACAGCAGCAGUCACACUGGAGUAACAUCGCCGAGUUGUUUCUAAGGGCAUGCGGCUGGUCUGGCACCGCAUUUCGCCAGACGAAACUGCAUCAACUGAGCAUCAUUCGCAGCUCGCGGUUCCUACGGGUCAUUGAUCUGCAUGGUCUGCUGCUUGUUGGACUGCCCGACGAGAUCGGGAGCAUCAUCCAUCUGAGGUACCUCGGCGUCAGGAACUGCUGGUUGCAGGAGCUCCCAGAGUCCAUUUCCAAGCUUGACAACCUCCAGACGUUGGAUGUGAGGAAGACCAAAGUGGCCACUGUCACCGAUGGAUUAUGGGAAAUCAGCGUGCUACGCCACGUGCUCGCUGAGACCCUGCAUCUGCAUUUUGUCCGGCCAUCUCCUCCCUGCCAGCGUGUUCUCCAGCUCGAGCUCGCGCCGUCUCGAGGUCCUGACACUCGCCGGGAGACUCAAUCACUCAACUCGUCGCCAACCUCCCCCUUCAUCUUGCCCAACCUAGGUAAGCUCACCAUGUCAGGAUCAGGUAAUUUGAUGCAAGAUUUCGUGGACAAAGUCGCCGUCAUGCCAAACCUCGCCGAGAUGGAGCUCCUGGGUGGCUCCUACAUCGGAGCUGAGCUGGUCAUCCGUGAAGAAGCUUACCCAAGUCUCAACAAGCUGACUCUCGCCGACUUGGAAAAUCUGGACAAGUUGGAGCUACAGCCUGGCUCCGCGCCCAAUCUUGCCAUAUUAACCAAGUGCGGCUGUACAAAAAUGGAGUUAAUCGAUGGUAGAAAAACACAAAGUGCGGCUAACGGGACCCCGUUGGCCAUCUUCAACAGAAGAAUCAACAAAAGUGCGGGUAAUGGGGACAUGCCAAUCCUCCAGGAGACCGAAAAUCACGAGACUACAUCAACAUUGAUCACUACUCAUCGGCCACCGGGUUCAACACUUGUCAACAUGUACAAAUCAGGGUGA